rnacentral:rRNA from 1 species
AACGAACGCUGGCGGCGUGGCUAAGACAUGCAAGUCGAACGGACUAUGUAAUUGAGUAAUCGAGCGCAUAGUUAGUGGCGAAAGGGUUAGUAAUGGCUAGGUAACGUACCCCCUGCUUUGGGAUAGCUAUCCGAAAGGAUAGGUAAUACCGGAUAAUAUCACAAUUCGAUAGUUUUGUGAUCAAAGAUUUAUCGGCAAGGGAGCGGCCUAGUUCCUAUCAACUUGUUGGUGAGGUAAUGGCUCACCAAGGCAAUGACGGGUAGCGGGACUGAGAGGUUGGCCCGCAACAUCGGGACUGAGACACUGCCCGGACCUCCACGGAGGGCUGCGGUAACGAAUAUUGUGCAAUGGGCGAAAGCCUGACACAGCGACGCCGCGUGUAGGAGGAAGUCCCUCGGGAUGUAAACUACUGUCAGGGUAAAGAAAGUCUGUUUCGGCAGAUUGAUCUACCCCAGAGGAAGUCACGGCUAACUUCGUGCCAGCAGCCGCGGUAAGACGAAGGCGGCAAGCGCUGUUCGGUAUUACUGGGCUUAAAGCGUGUGUAGGCGGAUAAAUAAGCGUUUUGUGAAAUCCCUCGGCUUAACCGAGGAAUUGCUUGACGAACUGUU